ACGGGGUGCAGCAGGCGCGAAACCUCCUCAAUGCACUUACGUGCGAAGGGGCUACCUCGAGUGCCACCUGAUGAAGGUGGCUUUUCCUAGGUCUAAAAAGCCUUGGGAAUAAGAGGGGGGCAAGACUGGUGUCAGCCGCCGCGGUAACACCAGCCCCUCGAGUGGUGGGGAUGAUUAUUGGGCCUAAAGCGUCCGUAGCCUGCCGUAUAAGUUUCCCGUUAAAUCCAGCGUCUUAAGCGUUGGACUGCGGGAAAUACUGUACGGCUAGAGAGUGGGAGAGGUCAGCGGUAUUCUGGGGGUAGGGGCGAAAUCCUUUGAUCCCCGGAGGACCACCAGUGGCGAAGGCUGCUGUCUAGAACACGUCUGACGGUCAGGGACGAAAGCUGGGGUAGCGAACCGGAUUAGAUACCCGGGUAGUCCCAGCCGUAAACGAUGCAUGCUAGGUGUUGGGUUGGCCACGAGCCACCCCAGUGCCGCAGGGAAGCCGUUAAGCAUGCCGCCUGGGAAGUACGAUCGCAAGG
rnacentral:rRNA from 1 species